GACGAACGCUGGCGGCGUGCUUAACACAUGCAAGUCGAACGGAAAGGCCCUGCUUGCAGGGUACUCGAGUGGCGAACGGGUGAGUAACACGUGGGUGAUCUGCCCUGCACUUCGGGAUAAGCCUGGGAAACUGUGUCUAAUACCGGAUAGGAGCCAUUUUUAGUGUGAUGGUUGGAAAGUUUUUUCGGUGUAGGAUGAGCUCGCGGCCUAUCAGCUUGUUGGUGGGGUAAUGGCCUACCAAGGCGGCGACGGGUAGCCGGCCUGAGAGGGUGGACGGCCACAUUGGGACUGAGAUACGGCCCAGACUCCUACGGGAGGCAGCAGUGGGGAAUAUUGCACAAUGGGCGCAAGCCUGAUGCAGCGACGCCGCGUGGGGGAUGACGGCCUUCGGGUUGUAAACUCCUUUCGCUAGGGACGAAGCUUUUGUGACGGUACCUAGAUAAGAAGCACCGGCUAACUACGUG
rnacentral:rRNA from 1 species